AUUGAACGCUGGCGGCAGGCCUAACACAUGCAAGUCGAGCGGAUGAAGGGAGCUUGCUCCUGGAUUCAGCGGCGGACGGGUGAGUAAUGCCUAGGAAUCUGCCUGGUAGUGGGGGAUAACGUCCGGAAACGGGCGCUAAUACUGCAUACGUCCUGAGGGAGAAAGUGGGGGAUCUUCGGACCUCACGCUAUCAGAUGAGCCUAGGUCGGAUUAGCUAGUUGGUGGGGUAAAGGCCUACCAAGGCGACGAUCCGUAACUGGUCUGAGAGGAUGAUCAGUCACACUGGAACUGAGACACGGUCCAGACUCCUACGGGAGGCAGCGGUGGGGAAUAUUGGACAAUGGGCGAAAGCCUGAUCCAGCCAUGCCGCGUGUGUGAAGAAGGUCUUCGGAUUGUAAAGCACUUUAAGUUGGGAGGAAGGGCAGUAAGUUAAUACCUUGCUGUUUUGACGUUACCAACAGAAUAAGCACCGGCUAACUUCGUG
rnacentral:rRNA from 1 species